rnacentral:rRNA from 1 species
UUGGAGGGCAAGUCUGGUGCCAGCAGCCGCGGUAAUUCCAGCUCCAAUAGCGUAUAUUAAAGUUGUUGCAGUUAAAAAGCUCGUAGUUGAACCUUGGGUCUGGCUGGCCGGUCCGCCUCACCGCGAGUACUGGUCCGGCUGGACCUUUCCUUCUGGGGAACCUCAUGGCCUUCACUGGCUGUGGGGGGAACCAGGACUUUUACUGUGAAAAAAUUAGAGUGUUCAAAGCAGGCCUUUGCUCGAAUACCUUAGCAUGGAAUAAUAGAAUAGGACGUGCGGUUCUAUUUUGUUGGUUUCUA